GAAAGUGAACAUGCCCUCAAAGGAAAUUUCGGCAAAGUUUCCUCUAUUUCUAAGGACAUCCACGACAUGCAAUUCAUAUAAUUAUAUAACACAAGGAACAUAACAUAAGUGUAGAGCACCAAGCUACACUACCAUAACCGAGAACACCAGCGGUAACAUAAGACUUAGGGAGAGCUGAUUAAGACACACAAACGAAAAGGGCAACUUCCAAACUUCAGGACAAACCACCAAGCUUAGCAAAGUAUAAACUAUACUAGGUUCUCAAAACAUGGUCCUAAAGUACAAUAUAUGUGAGUUUCGUGUAGUGAACAGGGUGGUGAUGCUACUCCCAAGACUCCCAUGCAUGUCGUCCUCAGGGUUUACCUAAAAACAUAAACAACAAGGAUGAGUACAAAGACUCAGCAAGUACAUACAAGAAUAAUAAGCGUUACACAUGUCAAGAUACCAAAUCUCUACUAAACACCAUACCCUCAUCAGCACCCAACACUAGUAUUCAUGUCCUACAUGCCUACAUGCUCAUCUCAUUCAUUGCGUAUACCGGUAUCGCUUGAGUGGACGCCCGUCGACAUCCACUCACUCCAACGCAUGGAGGUUGCCUCCAAAGUAGGUCGCAACCCAACAAUGGAGGUCUCAAUGUGCCUACCCAAGGUAGGGACCUCUUUCUUUCACUAUCAUCAUGAGUGCAGAUAUGCAAAUGCAAGCAAAGUACUUGAAUCAACAUGUCUUUGUCAUCGUCAUCUCCAUCAUAAUAAACAUCAUUGACAUGGGCAAAUAUCAUGAUACAAAAAGGGCAGGGGAUAUGCAACGUCAUUAUCCUGUCAUGAACUUGCCUCAACCGCGAGGCACAACUUGUGGGUUAAAGGAUCCUGAACCAGAAGUACCAACACCUGUAAACAGGCAUAUAUCACAACCAAUACAAAAACAUGGACUUAUCAUCUAAGCAUAUAUAAUUCAGCUUCGCUCCUACGCAUAAGACCCCAGUGCAUAUCGAUCAACAUUGACGAAAUCUGAGAAUAUAUACUUGUUCCUCCACCCAAGUCCAUAUAUUAAAGUUCUGUCCAACAUAGUACAGCCCACCUUGAUAAUUUCAUAGGAUUUAAUAUACCAAACGAAAUCUAAUAAAUGAUAUGUGUUUAAGCAUCUACAGAACAGCCUGUACAAUUGUCAUGUUGUAACUUUAAUUUAAUUCAAUCUGUAACAUAGCCUAAUUUGCCAUAUGAGAAUUCUGCACCCACGAAAAUAUAUUUCCGGACAGAAAACUAAAUUGAUGGCUGCUCUCAAAUCGUACAUCCAAACGAAGCAAAUAAGUACUCUACGGAAACCUUAGAACUUGCUUUACAAAUCAUAUAAAGGGACCAACUCGAAAUUCUGAGCAUAACUAACUCGUUUUUCACCUAGAAGCUGGCUGUCCAGAUCUGACAGUGCAGUUUUUCUGCAGUUUAUGUGCAGUUUUAACCGAACCAAGUUCAGUUUACAGGGAGAGAUACCCAACGCUCCAGAUUUUUGCUUGGAAGCAAUCAACACCAUGCAACAUCAUAGAUGGGCUAUCCUCCCUAAUUGAUUUGGUUAAUCAAAGGAACCAACAUAGGGAAGGUCCAGCCUGGGUGCCAAAACAAAAUAGGUACAAAUAUUGAAUCACCAACAAAAUUGUGAAUUGGUUCAUGAAUCCACCUCCAGUCCUCAAAUCUACUUCUAACAUAUGAGUUGCUGCCCCAAAUCCCUAAUUCUGACCUAGGAAGCACCAUAGAAAAGGAGAACUGGGACGUACCGCUAGCAACAACGACGCCCAGCAGCCAGCACUGCCCGGCAACGACCACGGAGAGGAGAGGCGUCGGGGACAGCAGCAACCUCACGGGUCACGGCGGGGGUAGCCACCAGCAGCAGCGACGGCAGUAGCCUUUGUUGGGAAGACCAGAGGAAGGCUUUGGUGAGGGGAAUAGAAGAAAAACAGGGUUUGAGCACAGCCUACAGCGGCGCAAGGAGCGACCGAGGGCCACCCCUUGUCUGAC
rnacentral:lncRNA from 1 species